rnacentral:rRNA from 1 species
UACGGAGGGUGCAAGCGUUGUUCGGAUUCAUUGGGCGUAAAGGGUGCGUAGGUGGCGCCGUAAGUCAGGUGUGAAAUUUCGGAGCUUAACUCCGAAACUGCAUUUGAUACUGCGGUGCUUGAGGACUGGAGAGGAGACUGGGAUUCACGGUGUAGCAGUGAAAUGCGUAGAUAUCGUGAGGAAGACCAGUGGCGAAGGCGGGUCUCUGGACAGUUCCUGACACUGAGGCACGAAGGCUAGGGGAGCAAACGGG